UACAGAGGGUGCAAGCGUUAAUCGGAAUUACUGGGCGUAAAGGGCGCGUAGGUGGUUAAUUAAGUUGGAUGUGAAAUCCCUGGGCUUAACCUAGGAACUGCAUACAAUACUGGUUAACUGGAGUGUGGUAGAGGGUAGUGGAAUUUCCGGUGUAGCGGUGAAAUGCGUAGAUAUCGGAAGGAACACCAGUGGCGAAGGCGGCUACCUGGACUAACACUGACACUGAGGCGCGAGAGCGUGGGGAGCAAACAGG
rnacentral:rRNA from 1 species